GGAUGAGAAGAGCUUGCUCCUUGAUUUAGCGGCGGACGGGUGAGUAAUGCCUAGGAAUCUGCCUGGUAGUGGGGGAUAACGUUCCGAAAGGAACGCUAAUACCGCAUACGUCCUACGGGAGAAAGCAGGGGACCUUCGGGCCUUGCGCUAUCAGAUGAGCCUAGGUCGGAUUAGCUAGUUGGUGAGGUAAUGGCUCACCAAGGCGACGAUCCGUAACUGGUCUGAGAGGAUGAUCAGUCACGCUGGAACUGAGACACGGUCCAGACUCCUACGGGAGGCAGCAGUGGGGAAUAUUGGACAAUGGGCGAAAGCCUGAUCCAGCCAUGCCGCGUGUGUGAAGAAGGUCUUCGGAUUGUAAAGCACUUUAAGUUGGGAGGAAGGGCAUUAACCUAAUACGUUAGUGUUUUGACGUUACCGACAGAAUAAGCACCGGCUAACUUCGUGCCAGCAGCCGCGGUAAUACGAAGGGUGCAAGCGUUAAUCGGAAUUACUGGGCGUAAAGCGCGCGUAGGUGGUUCGUUAAGUUGAAUGUGAAAGCCCCGGGCUCAACCUGGGAACUGCAUCCAAAACUGGCGAGCUAGAGUACGGUAGAGGGUGGUG
rnacentral:rRNA from 1 species